rnacentral:rRNA from 1 species
CCUACGGGAGGCAGCAGUGGGGAAUAUUGGACAAUGGGCGCAAGCCUGAUCCAGCCAUGCCGCGUGAGUGAUGAAGGCCUUAGGGUUGUAAAGCUCUUUCGCCGGUGAAGAUAAUGACGGUAACCGGAGAAGAAGCCCCGGCUAACUUCGUGCCAGCAGCCGCGGUAAU